rnacentral:rRNA from 1 species
UGCUUGUUCUCAAAGAUUAAGCCAUGCAUGUGUAAGUUUAACCUGCCAGACAGGGAAACUGCGUACGGCUCAUUACACCAGCUAUAAUUUACUUGACCUUGACUUCUUACUUGGAUAACUGUGGUAAUUCUAGAGCUAAUACAUGCACCAAAGCUCCAAUCUCCCCAGAGCGGAGCGCAUUUGUUCGCCACAAAACCAAGCGCCCUCCGGGCGUCCAGUGUUGACUCAGAACAACUAAGCUGAUCGCACGGUCUUGUACCGGCGACGUGUCUUUCAAGUGUCUGCCUUAUCAACUUUCGAUGGUAGUGUAUCUGACUACCAUGGUGAUGACGGGUAACGGAGGAUAAGGGUUCGACUCCGGAGAAGGGGCCUGAGAAAUGGCCACUACGUCUAAGGAUGGCAGCAGGCGCGCAAAUUACCCACUCUCAACGCGAGGAGGUAGUGACGAGAAAUAACGAGACCGAUCUCUUAUGAGGCCGGUCAUCGGAAUGGGUACAAUUUAAACCCUUUAACGAGUAUCUAUGAGAGGGCAAGUCUGGUGCCAGCAGCCGCGGUAAUUCCAGCUCUCAAAAUGCAUAGAAUUAUUGCUGCGGUUAAAAAGCUCGUAGUUGGAUCUGUGCUAGCCGUCCGGUGCACACUUUGUGUGUUACUGGUUCGGUUGGCUUUUCUGCCGGUCUCUCCCCGGCGUUGGCCUUUACCGGUCGGCGUCGGUGGGCUGGCGAGUUUACUUUGAACAAAUCAGAGUGCUUCAAACAGGCGUUUCGCUUGAAUGUUCGUGCAUGGAAUAAUAGAAGAGGAUUUCGGUCCGAUUUUAUUGGUUUUGCUGACCGAGAUAAUGGUUAACAGAGACAAACGGGGCCAUUCGUAUUGCUACGUGAGAGGUGAAAUUCUUGGACCGUAGCAAGACGGACUACAGCGAAAGCAUUUGGCAAGAAUGUCUUCAUUAAUCAAGAACGAAAGUCAGAGGUUCGAAGGCGAUCAGAUACCGCCCUAGUUCUGACCGUAAACGAUGCCAACUAGCGAUCCGCCGGCGGAUUUAUUCGCCCUGGUGGGGAGCUUCCCGGAAACGAAAGUCUUCCGGUUCCGGGGGAAGUAUGGUUGCAAAGCUGAAACUUAAAGGAAUUGACGGAAGGGCACCACCAGGAGUGGAGCCUGCGGCUUAAUUUGACUCAACACGGGGAAACUCACCCGGCCCGGACACCGUAAGGAUUGACAGAUUGAUAGCUUUUUCAUGAUUCGGUGGAUGGUGGUGCAUGGCCGUUCUUAGUUCGUGGAGCGAUUUGUCUGGUUUAUUCCGAUAACGAGCGAGACUCUAGCCUACUAAAUAGUUGGCUCAUUGCUUCUGUGGGCACAACUUCUUAGAGGGAUUUUCGGUGUUCAGCCGCACGAAAUUGAGCAAUAACAGGUCUGUGAUGCCCUUAGAUGUCCGGGGCUGCACGCGCGCUACACUGGCAAAAUCAGCGUGCUUGUCCUUCCCCGAAAGGGGUUGGUAAACCGGUGAAAAUUUGCCGUGAUUGGGAUCGGACAUUGCAAUUAUUGUCCGUGAACGAGGAAUUCCUUGUAGGGGCGAGUCAUCAACUCGCUCUGAAUACGUCCCUGCCCUUUGUACACACCGCCCGUCGCUGCCCGGGACUGAGCCAUUUCGAGAAAUUCGGGGACGGUUAGUGUUCCGGCUUCGGUCGGUAUGCAGACUGGAACCGAUUUAAUCGCAGUGGCUUGAACCGGGCAAAAGUCGUAACAAGGUAGCUGUAGGUGAACCUGCAGCUGGAUCA